UCCGGCAUGGUGUAGUGGCUAGCAUUUCCGCCUCUCAUUCGAUGUUCGUUGGAAUGUCAGAAAGGUCGCGGGAGACCGGGGUUCAAUUCCCCGUACCGGAA